GUUUGAUCCUGGCUCAGGAUGAACGCUAGCGGCAGGCUUAACACAUGCAAGUCGAGGGGUAACAGGAGUGCUUGCACUCGCUGACGACCGGCGCACGGGUGCGUAACGCGUAUGAAACCUACCUAAUACAGGGAGAUAGCCCAGAGAAAUUUGGAUUAAUACCCCAUAGUACUGUUGUAUCGCAUGAUAUAAUAGUUAAAGAUUUAUCGGUAUUAGAUGGUCAUGCGUUCUAUUAGUUAGUUGGUAAGGUAACGGCUUACCAAGGCAGCGAUAGAUAGGGGCCCUGAGAGGGGGAUCCCCCACACUGGUACUGAGACACGGACCAGACUCCUACGGGAGGCAGCAGUGAGGAAUAUUGGACAAUGGAGGGGACUCUGAUCCA
rnacentral:rRNA from 1 species